ensembl:snRNA U6 U6 spliceosomal RNA
GUGCUUGCUUUGGCAGCAUAUAUACUAAGAUUGGAAUGAUAUAGAGAAGAUUAGCAUGGCCACUGUGCAGCGACGACACAGAAAUUCAUGAAGUGUUCCAUAUUAAA